GACGAACGCUGGCGGCGUGCUUAACACAUGCAAGUCGAACGGAAAGGCCCCCUUGUGGGGUACUCGAGUGGCGAACGGGUGAGUAACACGUGAGUAACCUACCCUUUACUGUGGGAUAACUUCAGGAAACUGGGGCUAAUACCGGAUAGGAGCUCCUGCUGCAUGGGGGGGGUUGGAAAGUUUCGGCGGUUGGGGAUGGACUCGCGGCUUAUCAGCUUGUUGGUGGGGUAGUGGCUCACCAAGGCUGUGACGGGUAGCCGGCCUGAGAGGGUGACCGGCCACAUUGGGACUGCGAUACGGCCCAGACUCCUACGGGAGGCAGCAGUGGGGAAUAUUGCACAAUGGGCGGAAGCCUGAUGCAGCAACGCCGCGUGCGGGAUGACGGCCUUCGGGUUGUAAACCGCUUUCGCCUGUGACGAAGCGUGAGUGACGGUAAUGGGUAAAGAAGCACCGGCUAACUACGUG
rnacentral:rRNA from 1 species